CUUUUCUUUUUAUUCAUUCUUUCCCCACAUUUGAUUUCUCUCUCCCACUACCUCCUCUCAUUAAACCUGCCCUCUAUACUGGCCAAUUAUUAAAGUGCAUUUCCACUUUCCCUAUUGAAAAUAAUUAUCUAUGUCUGCACAGCUCCCAUGGAGGAGCUUUGAAAUUGAAAGCAUAUGUUUUCAAAUUUCAAAAUCAAAAUUUUGUGGCUCUAUAAUCUGCCCACUCUAUACUAUCCCAUUCCACUUUCAAUCAUUUUACAAAGCUCCCUCCUCCUCCGCUCUAUAUUAUCCCAUAACCAGAAGAAGUCUUCUUCCUCGAGAGCUACUAUUUAGACCUCGUCGCUAGCGUUCUCCCGCCUCUACGACACCUCAUCGCCGCUGCCGACGCCAUUUCAUCCUCCGAGCCCCAAUCGCCCGAAUUUUACUCUGAGCCCUCCCUGUCGCGUUCGCCGUCCCUGUCCCACUCUCGCGCCCUUUACGAGCUCUGAUCCCGAAGGUCCCUCGGCAAGAAACCCUUCUCCUCCUCCAACGGAACCCGCCGCCGUGAAAUCCGCAUCCUUGGCGAUUUCAAACGCAACCAAGACUUCUGUUCCGGUAUCGGUUUUGAAUCUGAUGAACGCUCCUCUUCAAGGGUUUGCUUCAAUUCAAUUCAGAAUAUAGGAGUUAUUAAUCCCAUUCCUCCCUCAAGUUCAAGAGGGUUUGAGCUGGAUUCAAGUAUAAAAAGAGGAUCAUGUCCUAGCGCAGCAUCUUGCUGUUGCUUCACCAACCUUGCCAAGUUGAAUCAAAAGCAUGAUUUAGUGUUUUGCAAUCUAAGUUUGAUUAAUGAUUUUUUUUGUACUUUUUUUCAGGCUGUUGGUUCACCAACCUCUAUUUUAAUUUUUCACUUUUUGUGAUUCUUUUAUUCUCUUUUGUUGUGUAAUGUUCCAUUUUGUCUCAACUUUUCUUUCUCUUGACCAUAUAUUUUUUAUAGAAUUCAAUUGCAAAUACAUAGAUAUAUAUAAUUGCUCCUAAAUAUAUUUUGUCUCAAGUUUUGAUUCAAUUGCAAUUUUCAGGUUUAAUUCAAGCUCUGCAGAUGGAUAGUUGCACCUUCUUCUUUGAAGGUUUUGGACUUUCAGAAGGAUUGCAUGGUUUAUAUACCAAACUAUGAUGUUCUGGUUGAUGAUGAUAUAGAGCAUUAUAGAAUAGUAAAAGGGAGGAUGUUAGAUGAUCUAGAUCCUUCCCAAUCAGGACCAUGGAGGCAUGAGUUUGAGGUGAAGUGCAUAAUGGUUGGCUUUCACUAUGUUUUACAAUGCAACAUAUCUGAAUGUCAAUAGUAGGCUUUCACUAAGAAUUCCUUCCGAAGCUUCUCAAAUAAACCAGAUUCAAUUCUUCCAUCACAAUCCAUUAAAAAUAUGUAACUGUUAUUCUGAAUGCUCUUAUCGAUCCCUAUUGCAGGUGUAUAAAUACUUUGGUACUCUUGAAUCCUUGAGAUGGGACAUAUUGUGCUUCAUAUAAUGUUUCUUCUAUUUGAUCAUAUUGUGCUUCAUAUAUUUAGCUAUCUAUUUUCAAAUCGUAUACUUGGUUUUAAUUUUGCAGUUUUUUCCCUUAAAGAAACUCAAUCUGCUAGCCAUUCCAAAGUAGCUAAUGAGUCUUUUUGGGGCAUUAUCUUUUAUUAACUUAAGGAUUUUACUUACGUGUUCCCUCAUUGUUUAUUUCUGGGAGCUACACAGUAUACAUCCACACUAUAAUCAUUUUUAAAUUAUACACUUCACUAUGUUGUGAAUAAGAAAAUGGGUAUAAAGUUAUAACUCAAAUGUGUAAAGUUAUCCCAGUUCCCUAGCAAUGUUACUUGGUGGAUCUGUCACAGCUUGACUUUCUUCACAUUUCUGUUUGAGUUCAUUUUCAUUUAAUUUUUAAAUUAAUUAGGAUCUCUCCUUUUCCCCCACAAUUGGUUGUAAUUUGUUUUCUCUUACAAGUGGUCUAAUAUAUGGUAGAUAUACUUGAUUUAAACUGUUGUGUGAUUUCUUUUGAAUCUCAGGAGGCUUCACUUUCUGCGAUUGGGCAACAUGUUCAACUUCUUCAUCAGGUUAUUUGACAUGUUGAAACUAUCACAUGACCAGACUCUUUAUGCGCUGAAGAAAGUGUCCUGUAUACAAAUUGGUUCAAGAGAAACAACAAUAGAAGCAAAAGUGGAUUUUUAUUCAUGAGGGAUGAGAAAUUAAAGAGCCAUGUUGAUAGCAAAGAGUUGUCAGAGGAACAAAGCUUUCAAUGCGGAAGCCUUGACAACUUCCAGUGUUUUAUUCAUGUGUUUUAUUAAAAUCAUUUAUCUUCCAGUGCACCAUGAGGUAUCUAAAAGUACUCCUAUGUUCUAUUAUGUAGGUAAACCAUUCUGAUAGAUCUAAAUUUUUAAAUUUACCAAAUAAUUCCUUUA